rnacentral:lncRNA from 1 species
CUACUUAUUUUUCAGAUCUUAAAGUAUGAAUUGCAUUUAAUUGGUUGAUCUGGAUUCCUUGUUGUGGUUCUUGAUUGUUUUGGGUCUUAAGAUUAGCCUCGAAUUGACUCGGUAGUUUGCCUUUUUCUCUUUCACUUACAGUUGUGGCUAAUUGACCUAAUUGCAUCUCUAAACGGGUAAUAGCCUGGGUGUUGGAAGUUAAAAGCUGGCCUGUGGUCUGCAUGAAGUUG